rnacentral:lncRNA from 1 species
CAACUGCUUCAAAGAGGGGCUCUCAAACCAUCCAAAACUCCCAAACGAGGAGUUUAAAGAGUGGAAUCGACCAGAUGAUUUGGAAAAAUGGGAACUGAAGUUGUCUUUGACUUUUGCCAGCAUAAUGUUAGGGCUCACUUUGGGACUCAUGCCUCUCGGCCUUGUUAAUCUUGAAGUUCUUGCCAAAUCAAGCACUCCAAGGACAAAAAUAUGGCAUUAUAGUUUUUCUUCUAAUUUUGUUUUGGAUUGAAGUUGCCAAUUGAUUUUAAGGCAAUUGGUAUUUCACCUCAAUAUUUUGGUUUUUGUUAGAAUAUGGUUCAAUAGAGUUGUUGUGGAUUUCAUGAUUUUUAACAAUAAGUGUUGUGCGGUCAUCAAUAUUAGUUGAUUUAAGUAGAGAAUUUAUUAGAUACCUCCAAGGAACUAUUGUUGGUCUGAAUGUAUUUUGGUGGAAGUAAUACAUGUUUUAGGGUGGGUGAUGGAAGAGUAUGGUAUGGUUGGAUAUUGGAGGAGAUGUACGUUGUUGUUACGAUGGGAGAAUAUAUGAAGUUUGUGAGGUUUGCAAACAAUGGAGACAUGCUACUGGAUUCACAAUACAGAUGCCAGAAAAAUAACUUCUGCAGGUCAUCAGAAUAUGCACACCAAGUGUUUGACAUAUUGUUUUAUCCAAUUCCAUAUGACAAUAUGCACACUAUGAUCAUAUUCAGAAAGGACAUAGUUCAAACUUGAAUUGACAAGAUCAUCGAAUUUCUUGGUGAUCUUCUCAUCGAACAAAACAUGAAUCUUCAAGAAUAUAGAGUCCAAACUUCCAAGGAAACUGGAUGAAUACAGUGCAUAACCUGUUGGCCGAACUCCAAGAUGUAAGACUUGAUUCGAACUUGAACCUUCGACCAAGGAACAUAGAAAUUUUUGCCAACAAACUGAUCCUGGGAUGAAGCUGACCAAUGCACUGAACUGGCCGAAAUUCACCAGAAAACUGUAACAGUCAAAGCAGCCCCAAGAAUUGAGACUAAAAUCAAGCAUCUCCAAAGAAAAGCACCAAGAAACCGGGCAAAACUUUGCACAAAAUUGCUUGAACAAAGCAUAUGAUCUCUUAACAUUUUCAAAUCUGCCAAGAGAUGAAAAACUUGGAAUUUUCAAGGACAUUGCUAAAUUAAUUUGAUCGGUCUUCGACCAACCUUUAAGAGACUUGAAAUUCUUUGAUGAUAGCAUUUCAAUUAUUUCAUGAGCAUGCCUACCCUUUUGGCCGAACUUUGAGACUCCAAGGGACUUGAAACCUUC